GAUGAACGCUGGCGGCGUGCCUAACACAUGCAAGUCGAACGGACAUUUUUUGGAAAGUUCUUCGGAACUGGAAUCUAAAUGUUAGUGGCGGACGGGUGAGUAACGCGUGAGCAAUCUGCCUUUCAGAGGGGGAUAACAGCCGGAAACGGCUGCUAAUACCGCAUAAGCGCACAGAAUCGCAUGAUUCAGUGUGAAAAGCCCUGGCAGUAUAGGAUGGUCCCGCGUCUGAUUAGCUGGUUGGUGAGGUAACGGCUCACCAAGGCGACGAUCAGUAGCCGGCUUGAGAGAGUGAACGGCCACAUUGGGACUGAGACACGGCCCAA
rnacentral:rRNA from 1 species